AGGAUUAACGCUGGCGGCGUGCCUAACACAUGCAAGUCGAACGAGGUAGCAAUACCUAGUGGCAGACGGGUGAGUAACGCGUGGUCAACCUACCGUUGAGUGGGGGAUAACUAGCCGAAAGGUUAGCUAAUACCGCAUACGAGUCCGAGGGGCAUCCCUUGGCCUUAAAAGGAGCAAUCCGCUCGAUGACGGGACCGCGUCCCAUUAGCUAGAUGGUGGGGUAACGGCCUACCAUGGCUCCGAUGGGUAGCUGGUUUGAGAGAGCGACCAGCCACACUGGGACUGAGAAACGGCCCAGGCUCCUACGGGAGGCAGCAGUGAGGAAUUUUCCGCAAUGGGCGAAAGCCUGACGGAGCGACGCCGCGUGUGGGAAGAAGGCCUUCGGGUCGUAAACCACUGUCGAAGGGGACGAUAAUGACGGUACCUUGGAGGAAGCCCCGGCUAACUACGCGCCAGCAGCCGC
rnacentral:rRNA from 1 species